rnacentral:rRNA from 1 species
CUACGGGUCGCUGCAGUGAGGAAUAUUGCGCAAUGGGGGAAACCCUGACGCAGCGACGCCGCGUGGAUGAUGAAGGCCUUAGGGUCGUAAAAUCCUGUCAGGUGGGAAGAAGUGGAUAUAGAUUCAUACUCUAUUUCUUUGACGGUACCACCAAAGGAAGCACCGGCUAACUCCGUGCCAGCAGCCGCGGUAAUACGGAGGGUGCAAACGUUGUUCGGAAUUACUGGGCGUAAAGCGCGCGUAGGCGGUUUGUUAAGUCAGAUGUGAAAGUCCAUGGCUCAAAUAUGGAAGUGCAUUUGAAACUGGCAGACUUGAGUACUGGAGGGGGUGAUGGAAUUCCCGGUGUAGAGGUGAAAUUCGUAGAUAUCGGGAGGAAUACCGGUGGCGAAGGCGAUCGCCUGGCCAGAUACUGACGCUGAGGUGCGAAAGCGUGGGGAGCAAACAGGAUUAGAUACCCGUGUAGUC